GAUGAAGAACGCAGUGAAAUGCGAUAAGUAGUGUGAAUUGCAGAAUUCAGUGAAUCAUCGAAUCUUUGAACGCACAUUGCGCCCCUUGGUAUCCCGAGGGGCAUGCCUGUUCGAGCGUCAUUUCACCACUCAAGCCUGGCUUGGUGUUGGGCGACGUCCCCUUUGGGGACGCGCCUUGAAACGCUCGGCGGCGUGGCACCGGCUUUAAGCGUAGCAGAAUCUUUCGCUUUGGAAGUCGGGGCCCCGUCUGCCGGAAGACCUACUCGCAAGGUUGACCUCGGAUCAGGCAGGGAUACCCGCUGAACUUAAGCAUAUCAAUAAGCGAGGA
rnacentral:misc_RNA from 1 species